CCCUGGAAGGCAGCGGAAUCCGCUCCGGGCCGCACCGCCUCUUCCAGUGCGUGCUCUAGAGCCUCCAGAGCGCGCCGCCGCCCCAGCUUACUUUCGGUCUCCAGCCCCGGUAGCAGGCGGCCUAGCGCGCGGGUCAGUUCCGCUGCUUCAGCCGCCUCGACGAAGCCCGCGGCCACCUCCGCCUCCGCCGGCGCCGCCAUCUUGAGCGCGUUGCCUGUCUCCAAGGGAACCGGCGCUAGUACGACGGUCGUAGCACGCUUUACGGCAAGACUUCCGGCCGGCUCGGUUGCUCGUGGCUGAGUGUGCGCCUCUUAGGAGUAUUGCUGGGGGAGGGGCAGGGAGUAAUGGGCGGUGGGCGGGGCCAGGGGAAGUGGGCGGACAAAGGGCUCAGUAGGCGGAGUGACGGGCAGGAGGACGAGAGAGGGGGAGACGAGAAAGUGUAAUUGGCUGGGUCCAGAAGUCGAGGGUGGGGCGCUAACCUCGAGGGCGAGGCGGAAGGCAGCAAGCUCCGCAAGGGCCUUGGGUGAAAGAGGGUCCCAGAGAGGCCUACCACACACAAUGGCCAACAGAUACAGGCAAGUCUUCUGGGAAAACCCCUCUCUCUGGCCAGUGGCAGGAGAGCCCUAGAGCAAUGCCCAACAGAGACCUUGACCAGCGCGCCAGUCCCAGUCCACCGUCCGUCCCCAGGGACAAUGUCAGAGCACCUGUAGGCUCACCUGGCCCUGCCUGUACACGGGGGUGCCAGUGGGGACCAUAUAGGUAGUGUUGUGAAGCUGCCUGUCAGCACAGAGACCCACAUCCUCAGCAGGAUGGUCCCCAGAGACACGCCUUCAUAACCCAGAGGAUGACACCAGUAGGGACUGGGUAGCCCCACCCAUGCCAGAGAAUCAAGCAGACCAGGAGAGCAAGGGGAGGAUGCCAAAGACAAAGCCAACAUUGGAACAAGAGGCCAGAGAGGCAGGCCAGAUUGCACAUGUGACAUACAUCCACACAGUGGCAUUAGCAGCUAGCUGCCUGCUAAUGUAGAGGAUUUAAAUAGAACCAGGAGUCUCCAAACAGAAUAACCCAAAUGUCCGACGUACAUUUGAAAAAGCCGCUUAUCAUUCCAAGAACAUUCACAAUGUGAAUGUAAAAAGGCUGCUCACUGAAAUGGAUGCCAAAAUGAGCCAUCUGCCAAGGACUUGUCGACAACCAUGAAAAUCGCUUUCAGGAGUAAUUAGAAGAAAAAGUGAUUACAAACUCAUUUAAAAUCGAAAAAAAAUUUUAGCAAAGAAAAAGAAAUUGUAAAGCGCCAAGUUGAAAUUAUAGAAUCUGAGAAAACAACCAGAAUAACACUGUCCAUCAUUAGAAGGAUACAGUGGUAGACUAGAGAUGACGGAGUGCUAGAACUUUCUUGGAACUGAAAAACAAAGAAAAUAGUACAAAGUGUAAUAGUACUAAGCCAGGUUUGGUGGCAUAUGCCUGAGACUGCAGCGCUGAGAAGGCCGAGGCAGAAGAAUGGAAGGUUCUGGGCUGAAUAUACAUCCUGUCUUAAAUGAAAAUAAAAUUCCCGAAUCUCAGAA